rnacentral:lncRNA from 1 species
UGCAGUUCAUGAUUAUAAGAAACGGAUAGCAGAAGAAGAUGGUGCAGUUGAAGCCCUGGCAGGGCUAUUGAGGGAGGGGACACCAAGAGGAAAGAAGGAUGCUGUGACGGCUUUGUUUAACCUAUCUACUCACAUGGAUAAUUGUGUGAGAAUGAUAGACUCGGGGGCUAUAGAAGCACUAGUAGGGGCUUUGGGAGUUGAAGGUGUUGCAGAAGAAGCGGUAGGUGCAUUGGCCUUGAUUGUUAGGCAGCCAGUUGGGGCUGAAGCAGUUGGAAAUGAGGAGUCGGCAGUGGCAGGACUAAUUAGUAUGAUGCGUAGUGGGAGUCCUAAAGGAAAAGAAAAUGCAGUUGCUGCAUUGCUUGAAUUAUGUCGGGGUGGUGGGGUGGCUGCAACGCAGAGGGUGUUGAAGGCACCUGCGCUGGUUGGGUUGCUUCAGACUUUACUCUUCACGGGCACCAAGCGGGCAAGGAGAAAAGCAGCAUCUCUUGCUAGAGUUUUCCAAAGGUGUGAGAAUACAUCCUUGCAUUUUGGUGGGUUGGGUAUAGGGUAUGCACUUGCUGGGAACUCGGCUGCAAGUAGGGAUUCAGGUUUUGCUGGUGAUGUUUCGGUGUCCAUGUCUAUAUCUGUUCCAGUUCUAUAGUGGUAACAUCCACACUAUAGAACAUGGUUAAAUUAUUCCACAUUUUUCGUUUGUAAUAUCCACAAUUCUUUCAUUGAAAUAUUAAUUAUGAGGGAAAAAAAUACAGGAUUACUAUAAAUGAUGUGUUUGGGAAACAUGGACAUGGUUAAAACAUUUAGUCUAUUUAUCUGUAAUGUGUAAUGGUUUUUAGUAUUCUCUAUGUAAAGUAAUACUCAAUUAUUUGCGGAUCAUUUGAUCAUCGCAUAUUACAAGUGGGAGAAUUGUUACUUCCGGCCCUUUAUUCUUCUUGAUCCUCUAGUUUCUAUUUGAAAGCCCCUUCAAAAUAUUCAGGAAUUCUGUUUUUGUGAUACAUUACUAAUUUAUUUUUCAACCACUUGUUAAAAGCUGUUUAAUUUUUUGUCUGAAUUUGUCUGGAAAAAAUAAUGAACUUGAACAUUAAUUGUAAUAUUGCAUAUUGGUUCUCAUGCUACAAGAGUUUGUGAAAAAAAGUUGAAUCUUUUGGAUACUCUAUAACUUAUAGCUUAAUGCAUCAGAUGGAAAAAGAAAAGCAUGAUAGAGUUGAUGGUGCUAGUUGUUCCUUGAUUUACUGAAGGCUCAUAUAAAUAAGCUGCUGCAUUUUGUACCAACUGGCAACUGAUGUUUUGAAUUCAUUUUUUAGUUGUUCUGCCCAGAUUUUUAUCCUUUUCCUCCUCCAAUGUGGUAUUGUCCAUGAAUAUACUCCAAUACUGUACCAUAAUGAAUGACACAGAAUUUUCAGGAGAAUUUAAAUUAUAAUGAUGCACUACAAAUGAAAGGAAUCAUGUCACUAAACCAGUGGACUUAACAGUUCCUGGCUUCCUGCAAUGAUUUUCUACUUUCAUAUGAUGGUGAGAACUGAGAAGAACCAACUUGACACCUCGAGUGUGCAAAGCUACUGAAGAUAUCACAUUUGUGAUCAAAUUAUUGCCAUGACAGCCUGACCUUUCCAUUGACACUCCACUGGAAGCACUAUCUUCCAAAGAUUGACAGUGUUUGUACUGAUGAUUGUGUUGGGGUAUGUUGUCUAGUGGAAUGGAAAUAAGAUAUUUUAAGUGGCCAAAUAGGCCACUAACUUGGGUAAAUAAUAAGCAUGCGUUUUCACAACCUAGAAAUAUGGUGGUUGUUGCUUCUGGAAUCUUACUUAAAUUAUAAAGAUCUUGCAAUUAGAUUUUAAUUUUUUUGAAGAUGUAUUUGUUUUAUAUAUUUGAUUUAUUCCAUGUACUUUAUUUUCUUUUUAAAUUUUUUUCCCCUCAUAUGGGCUGCUCAACUCUCUUCACCUAUAUGCUCCACUUGUGUUUGGUUGUUGGACUUUAGUUCUGAUAAUGAUAAUAAUAGAGCUUUGGUACAUUGUUAUUGUACCUCAUGCUUAGGAGAAUGCUUUCUUUAUUAUUUACCAUUAAACGAUAGAUGUUGUUAGAGAAUAACAACGCAAAUGUAUCAGUUCAUGGCCAGUAUCAGUUUCAUUAUUUUUUAUUAAUCAGUUUCAUACAAUUUACAAUGGCAGGAUUAUCUCCUUAUCUAUCUAAUAAAAUACAAAUAAUUUUAAAUUUUCCGCUCACUCAAUAAAUCAUUUGGGCCAUCCAAAAUUUGGGAUAAAUCUCACCAUCCAUCUAUCUAAUAAAAUACAAAUAAUUUUGAAUUUUCCGUUCAUUCAAUAAAUCAUCUGGACCGUUCAAAGUUUGGGAUAAAUUUCACAGUUCAUACAAUGUCGGAGAGACGAAACACAUCUAGUAUAAAUAUAUAACACAAUAUAAAAAACCUUAAUUUACCCUAAAGUACAAAAUUACUCUAAAUUUGGGUUGUCUGAACCCGCUAAAUUAUUCGUAACUCAUAUGGGUGGAUUUUUUUAUUUAUUUUUUAUUUUUAUCUUCUCUAGGUUGAACUACAAGUCGCUUUACGAGUGCUGCAGGCAACGGCAUGCAAAGUAGGAAUAAAUUCAGUCAGACACACAUUUGACAUUCAUUAUAGUAACACAACCUUUUUUCUUCUUCUCUUCUCCAAACGCGGAUUCCAUUUUUUGACCCAUAUUCAACGGACACAUAGUAGUAUUCAAUUCAAUCCCACCAUAAAAUAAACCACCACCCUUUUCACAUCUGAAGAAUAAUUUCAAUCCCAAACCAUCAAUUGGGUAAAAGCAGAAUAAUUUUUUAUUAUUUUGCUGGAAUUUGGGGUUUUGAUGGCUUCAGCUGCGAUUUUUUCCUCCUUAAGGAAGAGAAGGUCGCCGUCGCUUGAGGCGUUUAUAGCUCCGGUGGAUUUGACUGACGUGGCGCUAUUGAAGAUUCUUACUGCGGUAUCGGUGGAGCUGAUCUCAUCUUUUUCAGGCAAGAAGCUGCCGUUCCAGCGGAAGAAUUCGCGGUCUCUGGUUCGAAAAAUUGAGGUAUUUGUACUUCUUUUGGAGUAUCUUGGGGAUUCACGCUCUAAUUUGCCGUCAACGGCAAUUGUUUACUUCAAAGAGCUGUAUUUACUGUUGUAUAGAUCCAAAAUUUUGCUUGAUUAUUGCGCCCAAUCGAGUAAGUUGUGGCUUUUGCUACAAAACCAUUCGAUUUCUGGCCAUUUUCAUGAUUUGAAUAAAGAAAUAUCGACCCUUUUGGAUGUUUUCCCGUUUAAAGAAUUGAACUUGAGCGAUGAUGUGAGGGAACAGAUUGAAUUGUUACAAAAACAAUCUAGAAGGGCAAAAUUGCUGAUUGAUAAACAGGAUGAGGUGUUGAGAUUAAAAUUCUUUUCAUUUCUGAAUGACUUUGAGGAUGGGAGGAUUCCUGAAACCGUUGCAUUGUAUUGUUUUUUCGUGGAAAGAUUGCAAAUUUUAGAUAUUAAUAGUUUUAUGGUUGAAAUUGAGUUCCUGGAGGAGCAGAUUAUUAAUCAUGAAGGGGAUGUUGAGCCUUCUGCUUCGGUGCUUAAUGGGUUUGUGGCACUGGCUCGAUAUUGUCGGUUCCUGCUGUUUGGUUUUGAGAAUGAUGAGGUGGGGUUGGGAACGGGUAAACAUAGGAAAACCAAGAAAGGGUUGAUUAGUCAAGAAAUUGCGGACAAGUUUAUUUCAAUUCCGAAGGAUUUUUCUUGUCCAAUUACGUUGGAUUUGAUGACAGACCCUGUCAUAAUAUGCACAGGCCAGACUUAUGAUCGAUCUUCAAUAACAAGGUGGAUGAAAGAGGGGCAUUGUACUUGCCCGAAGACAGGACUGACUCUUAUUCACACACGGCUUGUGCCCAAUAGGGCUCUGAGAAAUUUGAUUAUGCAGUGGUGUACUGCUCAUGGAGUUCCCUAUAACCCACCUGAGGGCUUGGAUUCGUCUUCUGAAAAUUUUGCAGCUUCUUCAGCGAGCAUGGCUGCAAUUGAAGCUAACAAAGCCACAUCACAGCUUCUUAUUCAGCAGCUAGCAAAUGGGUCACUGGGUGCCAAAACUGUUGCUGCUCGAGAAAUACGUUUAUUAGCAAAAACUGGAAGAGAAAACCGAGCUUAUAUUGCAGAAGCUGGGGCAGUACCCCAUUUGAAGGCUCUGCUUUCCUCUCCUAAUGCUGUAGCACAAGAAAAUUCAGUAACUGCUAUGCUUAACUUGUCGAUUUAUGAAAAGAAUAAAAGUCGAAUUGUGGAUGAAACAGGAUGUUUAGGAUCAAUUGUUGAUGUUUUGAGAUUCGGGCACACAACCGAAGCCAGAGAAAAUGCAGCGGCAACAUUGUUCAGCCUAUCUGCAGUUCAUGAUUAUAAGAAACGGAUAGCAGAAGAAGAUGGUGCAGUUGAAGCCCUGGCAGGGCUAUUGAGGGAGGGGACACCAAGAGGAAAGAAGGAUGCUGUGACGGCUUUGUUUAACCUAUCUACUCACAUGGAUAAUUGUGUGAGAAUGAUAGACUCGGGGGCUAUAGAAGCACUAGUAGGGGCUUUGGGAGUUGAAGGUGUUGCAGAAGAAGCGGUAGGUGCAUUGGCCUUGAUUGUUAGGCAGCCAGUUGGGGCUGAAGCAGUUGGAAAUGAGGA